GUGAACACUUGCACAAUGGAUCUUUCUUCAAUUAUACUGUUCUGUGCCUCAGCAGCUGCUGUCUUUGGAAAUGUCAUCAAAACAAAGAAAACUGAUGUUUUUUAUGAAGAGGGUUCAGAAAUUGUAUUGUCCUGUAGUCAAUCACCUGGAGCUUCAGAUAAUAUCUACUGGUACCGUCAGUAUGAAAGAUCAAAACCUGAAUUUCUUGUACUCACCUACGGUAAUUCAAAAGAACCUGCCGUGUCUGCUGUAGAUCCAAGAAUCUCUGUUAAACCUGAAAAAAAAGAGGAACAAAUCCAUGCAGAUCUGAAGAUCUCUUCUGCUGCUGUAUCAGACUCUGCUCUGUACUACUGUGCUCUGAGGCCCACAGUGACAGGAAACACAUCAGCUCUCUACAAAAACCUGUUACAAUGAGACACAGGAGAAAAAAGACAGCAAGAAAUAACACAAUGUUAAAUUAUCACAAAUGAUUCCCAUGUGUAAUACAGUAUAUAGUGAAUACUGUACAUUCAGAUGG